CAAGCGACCGUGCUGGGACGUUUCUCUUUCUUUUCAGGACCCAGCAGUGGCGCCUAAAGUCUACGGGGAGAAAAUCGCCUCUGUGCUGAGCAUGGGAACCUACAAGGCCUGGAUCAACACCUGGUUGGGACAGGAGACCACCAGGGCAGUGCACAACUGGGAUUUCAGUCUCCCGUGUCAUCUCCUGGGUCCACUGGCUCCACUGAGGGCAGCUAGACUCUGCAGCCAG